UAUCACCGAACUUUUGGCGUCGCGCGUAAACCACCGGCACGCUUUUCACGCGCACGUUCCUUACGUCGUUCUUUCUGUGUCACGUGGUCACUUGACUUCAUUCAUGGAGACAGGUCCUUUUAUACCACGAGCGUGUAUGCCCUGACAAGAAAACGGACGGUCGAUGCACUUUCAAUCGCAGUUCGAUCGCGAUACGUAAUCUCUGAGCGCACAGAGGCAACCGAAUCGAGUAAUGUGCAUACCAUGAGAUUCGAAUGGAAGAAUUAAGAUGAAAAAAAUACACGACUUGCCACCUGCAUAUUAUCCUUGAUAAACGGGCUGUCUAAUUUUAGCAUGAUCGUAGGAUAAUGGGAAUGAGAUUUGACAUAAUGAUUGUUUACUCAAUAGCGUAGAGUUUAGAAAAUAUGUAGAACAAAAUGAGGAAAUGAAGAUCGAGCUGAUUUCACAGCCUCUGAAGACGACAGACUUUUGCCUCCUUCUAAUAGUCGCUACAACAUUAAAAUAUCUUCCGGUGUGAUUGUAACUGAUCGUAACUGCCAGGCUAUUGCAUUAACAUCUGUCAUUUAUGAAGAUGUUCAAGAGGAAAGUCACAGUUGAUGCGUAAUUUCGGUAUAGUGUCUAAACAUUGCACUACGUACCAACGAAGUUCUUCUAUGCUUCUUCAUUUUAGUCGCCCUUUUUCAAGCCUUGGGGGACAUAUUCUCACGAAAUCCGGUUCUACUGGUUUGGUGUUAGAUACGAAGGUUGUCACGUUCUCAAAGGAGAUGAUAUUUAUUACUUCAAAUUGGUUACAAAAUACGCCAUAACUCUCGCAUAAUUUAUGACUGUACCGAUGGUGUUGACGACGCAUCCCGUGAAUACAUCUCUCUCAUAUAAUAUUAUACAUACGAGAGCAAUACGAGAGACCAGGUGUAUUUAAAUAUUCAUAUGCAAUGUAUCACGAAUCAUACAUCAGUUUGCGGCUACGAGCAUUACAAACGCCGAGUCUACGCAACAUAUACAGAGUGACUUUUUAAUAAAAUCAUUGAUUACCUCCCUUUUAUUAAUAUGUGCAAUGCUUAUGACUUAUGUGAAACAAAAAAUGAUUUAAAUAAAUAUGAUGUCUGCCGCGAAUCGCUUUUAAAAAAGCCAAAGUAUUCAACAAGUAAAAGAAGUUCUUUGAAAUUGUAACAAUGCAUAGCUAGUAUCGGGAGAUAAAUGUUUCACUCUGUAUGCAAAAAUAUCAUGUAGCCAAACACCAUCUCCUGCACAACAGGUUGUUAAUUCCUCUCUGUAAGAUCCACGGCGGUGGGCUUCAUUAAAAAUUGAACUGGUCAGAAUAUCAGAGAGAAGAAUAAAUUUAAUACGUAUGAGCCAUUAAUUAGCGGUCCAAUUGCUGAUAUUCUUAUUAUACAAGGAGGGCGUAACGUACGUAGAAUGUGCUUCCAAAAAAAACCUUCGUAACUACAUCGAUUUGUUUGCUACGUUUGUAUGGGAAAUAAAAACUAACAACAUUAUACGCGCGAAACCUAUAUAGUACGUUUAAAUAUGGUAAAGUGCAAUCAUAUAUUUACAUAAAAAUGUCCAUAAUUCAUAUAUACCUGAAAGGCUAAAGAAUACAAGCAGAAACCGAGAAUAACAAGCCAGAGUCCAAAGACAUCGCCAGGACCAGUCUUGGAUCGAGCAACAACUCUAUAUCCUCACUGGAAUAAACUAUGCUUACUAUAAGAAUCAGCGAAAAAAUAAGAAGAUAUUACGCUUAGACAAAUCGAACGAUCCCGCUAAUAUCAAUCACUACGUCGAAAAAGUUCAAUAGCACUAGUUUUGCACCGAACGAUCUUAACUUAUUCUAAAUCCCACAAAUCUAUCUACAUUCGUCUUGGGACAAGGAAUACCCCAAUGGAACUCGUUCUGGGUUACAGAAUCCUAUCUACGUCUAAACGACAAUUCGAACUUUAAUGAUUUAUUUGCAAUAAUUGCGUCGAGUAGUAAUUCGGAAACUAAAUUUGAGGAUUGUAUAGAUAUGUUAAAUCAAUUUGAAAGGAAUUCUCUUCGUGAAGGACUAGAGAGAGGAGAACAUGGCAAGAAAAACAAUUAACUCUACACAAACACAUUUAUAGCUGCCGGGUUUCGCGAGCAAUGAACUCAUGGGAAACAUUAAAAUAUCUUCGGAAAAGAAGGAGACACAUAUUUUGCUUACUCCAACGCUAUAUUUAUUUUAAACGUACAGCUUUAAAAUACAAAAUAAAUGUUUGCUUAAACAAGAGAUACGUAACUGUCAAAUGGAAUUUCUGCCUUCUUCUAUUGACGCAUGUUUAUUAAAACUUAAGGAUCACCCUUUCUUAUGCUAAUCCUGUGCUUCCUCCGUAUCUCAGCUCAUUGUAUGUAUAUUGAAACUACAUUUAUAUAAGUAUGUAAUGUGUAAAGAUUAAAGGCACAUCAAACGUGAAAAACAGGUAAUACAAUUAUUGGACGAACAAAUAUUGAAUUAAUUAUUAUUAAGUAUUCAAAUUAAUAAAAAGUUAGUUUAAUAUUAAUAAAAAGUUUAUUAAAGUAAAAUGUUAGUAAAUUUUUUUUGGAAAAAAUGUUAAUACAGGCACAUACGUAUAUCUAGGAAAUAAUAUCUUUGACAAAGAAUUCGUGAACAAUGUGCAAUAGACUUCUGUAUCAUACACAUAGCUCGAGGAAUUUUUUAAAAGAAUUUUUCUAGGCACGCACAAUGUACACCAGAUCGGACAGGUAAGAUAUAACGAGUGGGAAUACAGAAAGGAAACCUCUAUAACGGUAUAAAAUAUAGUGGAACUGUUUGCUUGCAGAAAACAAGAAAUGGAAUACGCAGUCUUUUUCCCUGAGGACGAUCUAGAUUACAGAAUAAACCGCGCAUUACGAAGGGGACCGCAUUUCCUCAGGUUAUCUGUGUAUACAUUUGGUACAAGCAGAGAAGAAAUUUCUUCUCUGGUACAAGACAAGAUUUCCAUACGACUUUAUUACAGAAACGUCUAUUUGGGUGAUCUUAUACGGUAUUGUGUUUCUUUGCAAUGAUGUCACAGAAAAAAAUACUAAAUAAAAGUACAAAGAUAGUUUAUUAUUAAUAUAAAGAACUAGAAAAAAUAAACAUAUAUUUAUAUGAUCUUUUAAUUUCAUUAGCUGCAAAAUUUUAUUUACACAGUCAUAAAAUCCCGCCACGACACGCUAUCAUCAUUUUACCAAUUUGAAAUUUUCGCACGGCACCAUUAUAGCAAUGUCUUAAGGCUUAAGUAAUAUCCUGAAGUGACAGCGGCGGAUAUUACCUACUGCAACUUCGUACAAAAUAGACGUUACGAGGUCUGCCGAUGCACAAUUGAGAAACACUAUUUGAAUAAUUUCCUUAGCAAUAAUUUCUUCAGUCACGAAUAAAACGCGUAUCAUUUUGCUCGCAUAAUACAAUCACUAGAGCAAUUAAUUUGAUUUUUUGAACAUCAUUUAAUCAUCAAACAUCAUUAUAAUUAAAUGUAAAAUACAACUUUCAUACAUUAUUCUUAAUAUUUAUCAUUUUAUGGAAGAUAUUGAGACAAUUAUACAUUUUAAUAGAUCUAACUUAUAAAUAUUUGAUAUAUUUAGUUUUCAUUCGAUAUAUAUAUAAAAUCUUUCAUAUUACAUAAUUACAUAAAACUUUGAGAGAUUAAAUUAAUAUUUAAUAAUGCAUAAAAAAU